UGGGGAAUAUUGGACAAUGGGGGAACCCUGAUCCAGCAAUGCCGCGUGUGUGAAGAAGGCCUGAGGGUUGUAAAGCACUUUCAGAGGGGAGGAGGACUAUUAGGUUAAGAGCUAGAUAGUUGGACGUUACCCUCAGAAGCAGCACCGGCUAACUCCGUGCCAGCAGCCGCGGUAAUACGGGGGGUGCAAGCGUUAAUCGGAAUUACUGGGCGUAAAGCGCGCGUAGGCGGUUUGUUAAGUCGGAUGUGAAAUCCCCGGGCUCAACCUGGGAAUUGCAUUCGAUACUGGCAAGCUAGAGUAUGGGAGAGGAAGGUAGAAUUCCAGGUGUAGCGGUGAAAUGCGUAGAUAUCAAGAGGAACACCUGAGGUGAAGACGGGUUGCUGGGCUGACACUGACGCUGAGGCGCGAAAGCCAGGGGAGCAAACGGGAUUAGAUACCCGCGUAGUCCCUGAGCGGGCUGGCAAGGCGCAU
rnacentral:rRNA from 1 species